GACGGGGGAUGCAAGUGUUAUCCGGAAUAACUGGGCGUAAAGCGUGUGUAGGUGGUUUAAUAAGUCAACUGUUAAAUCUUGAGGCUCAACCUCAAAAUCGCAGUCGAAACUAUUAGGCUAGAGUAUAGUAGGGGUAAAGGGAAUUUCCAGUGGAGCGGUGAAAUGCGUAAAGAUCGGGAAGAACAUCGGUGGCGAAAGCGCUCUACUGGACCGCAACUGACACUCAGGGACGAAAGCUAGGGGAGCGAAUGGG
rnacentral:rRNA from 1 species